rnacentral:rRNA from 1 species
GACGAACGCGGGCGGCGUGCUUAACACAUGCAAGUCGAACGAAGAGAAAUGGAAGCUUGCUUCUAUGGAUCUUAGUGGCGAACGGGUGAGUAACGCGUAAUCAACCUGCCCUUCAGAGGGGGACAACAGUUGGAAACGACUGCUAAUACCGCAUACGAUUCAAUCUCGGCAUCGAGAGUGGAUGAAAGGUGGCCUCUAUUUAUAAGCUAUCACUGAAGGAGGGGAUUGCGUCUGAUUAGCUAGUUGGAGGGGUAACGGCCCACCAAGGCGAUGAUCAGUAGCCGGUCUGAGAGGAUGAACGGCCACAUUGGGACUGAGACACGGCCCAGACUCCUACGGGAGGCAGCAGUGGGGAAUCUUCCGCAAUGGACGAAAGUCUGACGGAGCAACGCCGCGUGAGUGAUGACGGCCUUCGGGUUGUAAAGCUCUGUUAAUCGGGACGAAUGGUUCUUGUGCAAAUAGUGCGAGGAUUGACGGACCGAAUA